ACUGAUCGGGCCAUGAGACACCAGUGCGUAAACGAGAAGCUAAACAAAGGCAUCGAUCAGAAUAUGCUAAAUGAGCUGGUAUAGGUUGGCUAAUGUUGGGACGCGAGUUGGGUCUCGAGACGGUAUUCGAGACCUAUGUGGGUUUAAGAUGCACGAUGUGGGUUUAUCGAUGAUGAUGCAGGUUUAUCGAUGAUUGAUGCAGGUUGGGUCGGCCAAGGCCCCAUGAUUUACCUUGAACGGCCUAUUGAUCCAUGUCUAAAUUAUGCUAGUUGCGCAAGCUGCGGCCAGUGACUAGAUGUUAGUACGAUAUGGAUCAAUAGGCGUGCUUCGAGGCGUUUUGUUUUCAAAUUUUCGUUUGUUACUUUCGCAUCGUUCGGUGCAUUCUGGGGGCUGUUUUGGCUUUUGGUUGCUUGCUUGGCCUUUUGGUUGGGUGGGUCGCUACUAGUCGGGUGGCUUUCGGGAAUGACGACCGGGAAGGUGCAUGAGUGGUGAUUGGUUUGUUACGUGUGGAUGGCUGUUUGCUUGCGCACCAACGUCCACGCUGCAUACCUCUUCAGUUUUGCGGCAAGACUCAGUUUGUCUUGAGCAUAUUGUGGGUUUCAUGUGUUGCAUACCUAAUUGAUGGUAACGUGUGGGUUUUAUGAUCUUCCUUUUCGUCUUGCGUCGUUCAUGCGGCGUGGGAUGAACAAUGAAGCGGUCUUUGUGAUCCAUGGUGUUGUUGCGUUUGCAACAAUGAGGUGGCUUAUGAAGCAUCGUUUGGUCUCUUGUAUAUGGAACCUGAUGUGGGCUUGGGUCUUUUCUAAGAUCUUCAUUUUGCCCUCGUUAAGUGUUUUUGCUUCUCCAAAACGAUUGCCUGCCAUGUUUUGGCUUGUCCUUGCAUGGUGGGCUACGUUGAAGAGGAAUGC
rnacentral:misc_RNA from 1 species